AGCUUUGUGUAGUGGCAAUAUCAUAGCCAAUGAGGUUUAUCUGAGGUGCAGUUAUUGCUAAUUAGAAACAUUUCCCAAUUGUUGACUCGGUACUUGUCCACCUGGAUAGAUAUAGACUCCUUUUGAGACUGUGCUGGCACA